rnacentral:lncRNA from 1 species
CUCUUCUGAGAUUAAAACUUAAUUUACAAAAAAUAAAAGGAAAAAAAAAAUGCAAUCCAUGUCCUUUGCUCCGUGAGAGAAAGUAAAGAAAAAUCAUGGACCAUUAACAAUAAUAUAUUAAAGUAGCACUUUUGACACAUAAUCAAGACACAGAAAUAUAAAGGACAUAAGAUUGUCAUAAUCAUCAUUUGUGCUAAGCAUAUUUUGAGGUUAUCCCAAACAUUAAAUUGUCUUUUGCAUAUCAAUCGACACUCACAAGGACAAAAUUUGCACUAACCAUGUCUAGUGGUAGUACUAUAUUUCAAAGUACAAACAGUAGUUUUGAUUCAAAAUGAAAAUAUAGUUCAAGUUCUCCUUUAAGGAUAGCAAUUGCCAAUUGCAACAAAGUCAUACUUUCGCUAAAACUAAAACUAACAUUUAUUCACGAAAAUAUAACUUAUAAUAUAAUGCAAAAGAAG